rnacentral:rRNA from 1 species
GAUGAACGCUGGCGGCGUGCUUAACACAUGCAAGUCGAACGGUGGUAGUAAUAUCACAGUGGCGCACGGGUGAGGAACACGUAGCUCAUCUGCCCUCUAGCGCGGGAUAACGGUCCGAAAGGAUUGCUAAUACCGCAUAAGCUCACGGAAUGCAGAGGUCUGUGAGAAAAGGCUUCGGUCACUAGAGGAGGAGGCUGCGGCCCAUCAGGUAGUUGGNGUGGUAACGGCGCACCAAGCCGUCGACGGGUAGGGGACCUGAGAGGGUGAUCCCCA